GGCGGACGGGUGAGUAAUGUCUGGGAAACUGCCCGAUGGAGGGGGGUAACUACUGGAAACGGUAGCUAAUACCGCAUAACGUCGCAAGACCAAAGAGGGGGACCUUCGGGCCUCUUGCCAUCGGAUGUGCCCAGAUGGGAUUAGCUAGUAGGUGGGGUAACGGCUCACCUAGGCGACGAUCCCUAGCUGGUCUGAGAGGAUGACCAGCCACACUGGAACUGAGACACGGUCCAG
rnacentral:rRNA from 1 species